rnacentral:misc_RNA from 1 species
AAGUCGUAACAAGGUUUCCGUAGGUGAACCUGCGGAAGGAUCAUUACAUUCAGUAGCCUAGCUACUUGUUUACACCCUUGUUUUUUUUUGCGCACUUCAUUGUAUCCCUCGGCGGGCUUGCUCGCCGGUUGGACAACAUUUAUAACCUUUUUUAAUCUUCAAUCAGCGUCUGAAUUAUAUUUAAUAAUUACAACUUUCAACAACGGAUCUCUUGGUUCUG